rnacentral:rRNA from 1 species
CCUACGGGGUGCAGCAGUGGGGAAUAUUGCACAAUGGGCGAAACCCUGAUGCAGCGACGCCGCGUGAGUGAAGAAGUAAUUCGUUAUGUAAAGCUCUAUUAGCAGGGAAGAAAAUGUCGGUACGUGAGUAAGAAGCCCCGGCUAAAUACGUGCCAGAAGCCGCGGUAAUACGUAGGGGGCAAGCGUUAUCCGGAUUUACUGGGUGUAAAGGGAGCGUAGACGGCAGUGCAAGUCUGGAGUGAAAGGUGGGGGCUCAACCCCCGGACUGCUCUGGAAACUGUACGGCUGGAGUGCAGGAGAGGUAAGUGGAAUUCCUGGUGUAGCGGUGAAAUGCGUAGAUAUUAGGAGGAACACCAGUGGCGAAGGCGGCUUACUGGACUGUAACUGACGUUGAGGCUCGAAAGCGUGGGGAGCAAACAGGAUUAGAUACCCGUGUAGUC